CAGAUCAAAAAAAAGUUAUGUACCUAGUGUGCUCUAGCGAUUUACCUAAUUUUCCUACUUAAAAACUAAACUAAAUUAAUACAGCCUAGCCUAAAAGUGAUUAAGUGGUUAAGAGCUAAAAUUUAUUGAUUAAUAGCCUAGAGAAAACAGUUAAAAUACUCGCUCAUACUUCCAGAUAGUGCGAACUUAAAAGUAGAUACUAUCUUUGAAACUACGGGAACAUGCGUAAAAUUAACUAAACCUAAGACAAACACAUUUAGAACAGCAUUCCCAUCACCGAUCUAUAAGCUAAACGAAUAAGGAAAACGAACACAAUCGAGGCACUAAACGUAAGUUUAUCAAUUUUCUCUUAAAUUACAACUAAAAUUAUGAAACGGGAUAGUAUCACUCCUGAAAUACAAAUUGAAAAGUCUUAGCA